rnacentral:ncRNA from 1 species
CACUCCCCCGAAAAGAUAUCGGGGGAGCCCAAAGGUCGGCUCAGGCGGGACAGAAACCCGCUGUAGAGUGCAAGGGCAAAAGCCGGCCUGACAGGACCCUUGAACGCAAGGGGUCCUGAGGGGAAACCCGGGCCUAGCGAUCCAUCGGCCCCUACCAGUGGGGGCCGGUGGUGACAGAAAAGUUACCCCAGGGAUAACAGGCUCGUCGCGGGCGAGAGUCCCCAUCGACCCCGCGGCUUGGUACCUCGAUGUCGGCUCUUCCCAUCCUGGCCUCGCAGCAGGGGCCAAGGGUGAGGCUGCUCGCCUAUUAAAGGGGAACGUGAGCUGGGUUUAGACCGGCGUGAGCCAGGUCGGAUUCUACCUGCUGGGGGUGCGGGCCGCCUGAGGGUAAGGUCCUCCUAGUACGAGAGGAACGGAGGGCCGGGGCCAACGGUGUACCGGUCGUCCUACAGGGCGACGCCGGGCAGCCGCGCCCCUGGGGAUAAGGGCUGAAAGCAUCUAAGCCCGAAGCCCCUCCCAAAAAUAGGUGGCCGGUCGGGGACUAUAGGGCCCGGCAACGGGCCUUGGUCCCCGACGAGGGCUCCCCUAGAAGAGGGGGUUGAUGGGGUGGGCGUGUAAGGGCGGAGGCGUAAGCCGGACGCCCUCAGCGCGCCACUCCCAAUCGCCCGAGCUGUCCGGGUG